rnacentral:rRNA from 1 species
UCGAUGAAGAACGCAGCGAAAUGCGAUAAGUAAUGUGAAUUGCAGAAUUCAGUGAAUCAUCGAAUCUUUGAACGCACAUUGCGCCCUCUGGUAUUCCGGGGGGCAUGCCUGUUCGAGCGUCAUUACAACCCUCAAGCUCAGCUUGGUAUUGGGCUCGCCCUUCAUGGGCCUGCCUUAAAAUCAGUGGCGGCUCCGUCCAGUCUCAAGCGCAGUAAUACUCGCCGCUUGUUAGGCUUGGUCGGCGGUUUGCUAACAACCCCCAAUUUACAAGGUUGACCUCGGAUCAGGUAGGGAUACCCGCUGAACUUAA